UUGGAGGGCAAGUCUGGUGCCAGCAGCCGCGGUAAUUCCAGCUCCAAUAGCGUAUAUUAAAGUUGUUGCAGUUAAAAAGCUCGUAGUUGAAUUUCGGGAUCAGUGGGUCGGUCGUGCCACUGGUAUGCACUGGCCCUACUGGUUCCUCCUUCUUGAAGAACUGUAAUGCCAUUAAUUUGGUGUUGCAGGGAAACAGGACUGUUACUUUGAAAAAAUUAGAGUGUUUAAAGCAGGCAAUCGCUUGAAUACAUUAGCAUGGAAUAAUGAAAUAGGACGGUCGAUCCUAUUUUGUUGGUUUCUAGGAUUGACGUAAUGAUUAAUAGGGAUAGUUGGGGGCAUUAGUAUUCAAUUGUCAGAGGUGAAAUUCUUGGAUUUAUUGAAGACUAACUACUGCGAAAGCAUUUGCCAAGGAUGUUUUCAUUAAUCAAGAACGAAAGUUAGGGGAUCGAAGACGAUCAGAUACCGUCGUAGUCUUAACCAUAAACUAUGCCGACUAGGGAUCGGAUGAUGUUAAUUUUUUAAUGACUCAUUCGGCGCCUUACGGGAAAC
rnacentral:rRNA from 1 species